UCUGUUGGUAAUCUGGAGUUCGAGCAAAGGCCUCAAGAUAGAAAUGUUAAACGGCAGAAACAGGCGGUCGCCAUAUGUCUGGUGAAACCCCCUAAAAACGGCGAUAUGGUCGUGUGUUCAUGGUUGUUUGAAGGAGAGCCGAUACCGGAGUACAGAGCAUCUACCGGAUAAAGAGGUUUAGUGAGCAGAAUGAAGGACAGUAUAUAUGUAUAGCACGGGCAGGGAGACUUACUGCGGAACAUGUUUUCUCCAUGACGAUGGUCAAUGACUGCAACGUAGAGGGUUUCAGGGGACCCAAAAAUGAAGAAGGGACAGUUGGCAACAUGGUCUUCCUGACAUGCUCUGCCCCGAAUGCUAAAGACAUACUCUGGAUAAAGGACGGCAUGGUCAUAGAUUUUGAAGAAAACAAAAGAAUGAAACACCUUUCAAACCAUUACCUGCAAAUCUCCAGUUUGGAAUUGGAAGACGAAGGGGACUACUCGUGUGAAGCUACAUACUCCGAAAAUUGCGGAAGCAAGAAGACUGCACAUCUCACGGUCUUUCAAUUUGGAGUACUCAACGAGUAAUGUGGCAGAUCUGUACAUGACCAGACGAGGGAAUCUUCUGCGAUAGGCGUUAUUUCAAAAGGAGACGAUGCCAUACCUAAGGAAAACCCGUGGCAUGUCACAAUGUUCCACCUUAAACUGCCAGCUGCAUUGACCUUUUGCCGGGAGGAAAGGAGGCGUUCACGCCCGAAAAUGUUCAACUAAAUUUUGCAAGUCUAUAUGCCAUAUGCAGCCAAAGCAGACUGUGUUGACAAUCUUCCAUUUGCCGGACAAAACAUUCAACUGACAGACAACAUGUUCUGUGCUGGAAAACUUAGACGCAGCAUGGGUGACGUGUGCCCAGGGGAUACCGGUGGUGGUCUGCUCAUGGAGGCGGUUGGAGAGUUCCGGUGGGUUCUCACAGGCGUCGUGUCGUUCGGACCCGGGGGAUGCAACAAUUGGAACUUCUACAGUGUGUUCACGAACGUUGGCAACUUCUACGAGUGGAUCAAUGACAACACUCAUUUCACAGAGGAGGAAGUGGACACGUCGUUUCUGGACGAGUCAAAGAAAUAAGCACUUCGCCUCGGUUAUCGACAACUUUAGUUUAUAGAUAUAAAUACCAUUGUAUGAGAUGAAAUCUGUACUUUAUCAAGUAAUGUACCUAAGCUCUUUUGUUUCAACUCAAAUGGUUUGAAUGUGCAGUUUGGUGUAGACGUUUACAAGAUAUUAAUGUUAUUGAAUAUUGUGAUCGUACUAUUGUGUAAUCUUUAGGAGUUCCUUAGAAAUUAUUCAAGAGAUUAUGCUGCAUGGUGUUUAUCCCUAUACAAGCGAUAAUUGUUGGAAAUGUUAACUUCCUGAAAAAAAUAAAGAGUUGAAUAUUGCAUCCUUACAUAACUAAGCUUUCAGUCCUUUGAUUUUAUGAAGAUUUUGCUAAUUCAUCUUAUCUUUAAAGCCUUUUUUGGCUAAAACUGUUUUGGCUGACUCGGUGUGUUUUGGCAUGUGACUUCAUUUUACAUUUUCAAAUUAUUUGGAAGAAAAGAUUAUCUAAUACAUGUCGCUUUUAUUUUUAAUAAUAGUGUCUUUAUUUGUUCCCAGUUUUAGUACAAUGAUGCGUUUUAUUAUGAAACUCUAUGACCACACAGUUUUAAACCUUUUAUUUUAUAAGGCAGACUGUGUGUGGUGUUUAUAGUUUUAAACAAUGACUGCAUCGUACCAAACAGAGUUGGGAUCUCUAAUCAUAGAAGUACUUGUGGGUUAACUAUAAGUCUAUUAUUAUUUGUUUUAUUGUUAAGUUUCCACAAGUUAAUGCAUACCUUGAUAAAAUUUACCCUUUGCGUUUUAUUUUCAUUUAGGAUUUUUGGGAUAAGAGUGAGGUUUGUGCACUUAAAAUGGUUUAAACCCCCAGUAAAUUUACA